CUCACUGAGCUAUUAGCAGGUUCAUUUGAGUUCUUAAAAAAUUUUCUUUACUCUGUGUUUAACAACAAAUGUGGGCCAAUUGCUGAGUUAAUUGAAAAGGAUUGUUUUCUUGUUGCCAAGAAACGGCACUUUCUUACAUUAUUCAGGCCAUUAUGUGCACAGAUCAAGCCUCCUGAUUUUUCUUUGAGGGUUUAAGAAUAUAGGCUGCUCUGAUUUAGUUCUGUCUGGAAGAGAGAAGCGCAAAUCAAGAACACUUUCAGGGGUGUCGUGUUGUUCCAUUUCCAUUUACCAGGUUUCUCCUCACUCAUGAGAUGUGAACCUCAACAAAUUUAUACCAGGUUAUAGAAGAGUGAUCACUUCUAUUGUUGCUAAAAAAGUUCUCUGCAGGAUAAAGGAGUCGCCGGGACACCGUUCUUGGGUCUCCCCGGGGAACUUGCUGCGGGCCGAGCAGACGCCUGUUUGACGCGGUGAGCAGUCCUCUGAGCGAGACCUCGUUGCCGCCUUUUCCCGCUCUGAAUGGAGACAAAGUUGCGGGGAAGAAAACACUAACAAACGAGCAAACCCAUCUGGCCCACUCGGCGGGCGGCGGGGCCAGCCUCGCGCUCCCGCCGCGCCCCGCCCCGCCCCGAGCGCCCCCGGCCGGAAGGGGGCGUGGGACGCCGGCGAGGGAGGGGCGCGCUGACGCCGGCGGCCGGGA